UGGGGAAUAUUGGACAAUGGGGGCAACCCUGAUCCAGCAAUGCCGCGUGUGUGAAGAAGGCCUGAGGGUUGUAAAGCACUUUCAGUGGGGAGGAGGGUAAUUUGGUUAAGAGCUGAGUUAUUGGACGUUACCCACAGAAGAAGCACCGGCUAACUCCGUGCCAGCAGCCGCGGUAAUACGGAGGGUGCGAGCGUUAAUCGGAAUUACUGGGCGUAAAGCGUGCGUAGGUGGUUGAAUAAGUUAUCUGUGAAAUUCCUGGGCUUAACCUAGGGUGGUCAGAUGAUACUGUUUAACUCGAGUAUGGGAGAGGGUAGUGGAAUUUCCGGUGUAGCGGUGAAAUGCGUAGAGAUCGGAAGGAACACCAGUGGCGAAGGCGGCUACCUGGCCUAAUACUGACACUGAGGCACGAAAGCGUGGGGAGCAAACAGG
rnacentral:rRNA from 1 species